CCUACGGGGGGCUGCAGUGGGGAAUAUUGGACAAUGGGCGAAAGCCUGAUCCAGCCAUGCCGCGUGUGUGAAGAAGGCCUUCGGGUUGUAAAGCACUUUCAGUGGGGAAGAAAGCCUUGGGGCUAAUACCCUCGAGGAAGGACAUCACCCACAGAAGAAGCACCGGCUAACUCCGUGCCAGCAGCCGCGGUACUACGGAGGGUGCGAGCGUUAAUCGGAAUUACUGGGCGUAAAGCGCGCGUAGGCGGUCUGAUAAGCCGGUUGUGAAAGCCCCGGGCUCAACCUGGGAACGGCAUCCGGAACUGUCAGGCUAGAGUGCAGGAGAGGAAGGUAGAAUUCCCGGUGUAGCGGUGAAAUGCGUAGAGAUCGGGAGGAAUACCAGUGGCGAAGGCGGCCUUCUGGACUGACACUGACGCUGAGGUGCGAAAGCGUGGGUAGCAAACAGGAUUAGAUACCCCAGUAGUC
rnacentral:rRNA from 1 species